UGUAGGUGCGAGCAGCUGUUCGGUCGAAUUAUUGGGCGUAAAGAGCUCGUAGGCGGUUUGUCGCGUCUGCUGUGAAAACUCAGGGCUUAACCCUGAGCCUGCAGUGGGUACGGGCAGACUAGAGUGUGGUAGGGGAGAUCGGAAUUCCUGGUGUAGCGGUGGAAUGCGCAGAUAUCAGGAGGAACACCGGUGGCGAAGGCGGAUCUCUGGGCCAUAACUGACGCUGAGGAGCGAAAGCAUGGGGAGCGAACAGG
rnacentral:rRNA from 1 species